rnacentral:rRNA from 1 species
UACGAGGGGUGCAAGCGUUGCUCGGAAUUAUUGGGCGUAAAGGGUAGGUAGGUGGUCUCGUUUGUCUGGGGUGAAAGCCUUGAGCUUAACUCAAGAAGUGCCCUAGAAACGGCGAGACUGGAGUACUGGAGAGGGUCGUGGAAUUCCCGGUGUAGCGGUGAAAUGCGUAGAUAUCUGGAGGAACACCGGUGGCGAAGGCGGCAUCCUGGACCAACACUGACGCUGAGGAGCGAAAGCCAGGGGAGCAAACGGG